GUGGGGUAAUGGCCCACCAAGGCUAUGACGGGUAGCUGGCGUGAGAGCGCGAUCAGCCACAUUGGGACUGAGACACGGCCCAGACUCCUACGGGAGGCAGCAGUGGGGAAUCUUGCGCAACGGGCGAAAGCCUGACGCAGCGACGCCGCGUGGGGGAGGAAGGCCCCAGGGUUGUAAACCCCUGUCAGGUGGGACGAACCAUGCGUCGGUUAAUAUCCGGCGCGUCUGACGGUACCACCAGAGGAAGCUCCGGCUAACUCCGUGCCAGCAGCCGCGGUAAUACGGAGGGAGCGAGCGUUGUUCGGAAUUACUGGGCGUAAAGGGCGCGUAGGCGGCCGAGUAAGUCGCGUGUGAAAUGCCGGGGCUCAACCCCGUGCACUGCACGUGAUACUGCUUGGCUAGAGAGAGGUAGAGGCGAGCGGAAUUCCCGGUGUAGCGGUGGAAUGCGUAGAUAUCGGGAAGAACACCUGCGGCGAAGGCGGCUCGCUGGGCCUUUUCUGACGCUGAAGCGCGAAAGCGUGGGGAGCGAACAGGAUUAGAUACCCUGGUAGUCCACGCCGUAAACGCUGGGUACUAGGUGUUGGGAGGCUUGGCCCUCUCAGUGCCGCAGCUAACGCAUUAAGUA
rnacentral:rRNA from 1 species